UACGAAGGGGGCUAGCGUUGCUCGGAAUCACUGGGCGUAAAGCGCACGUAGGCGGAUGUUUAAGUCAGAGGUGAAAGCCUGGAGCUCAACUCCAGAACUGCCUUUGAUACUGGGCAUCUUGAGUCCGGAAGAGGUAAGUGGAACUGCGAGUGUAGAGGUGAAAUUCGUAGAUAUUCGCAAGAACACCAGUGGCGAAGGCGGCUUACUGGUCCGGUACUGACGCUGAGGUGGCGAAA
rnacentral:rRNA from 1 species